rnacentral:tRNA from 1 species
ACCUGGCUGGCUCAGUCUGAAGAGCAUCUGACUCUAGAUCUUGAGGUUGUGAGUUCAAGCCCCAUGUUGGGUA